CAAUAAUCAACAAGAUGAACAUACACAGUACAUUCCCCAUCAGAGCAUGAACAGAAAUUCAUGGCCAGCUCAAGCAGUUCUCUGUCUGUCAGUGGUUCAGGAGGAUGAGAAGACACUCAGAGCCACGGCUGGAGAAGCAUGGCCUCCUGUUCUCAGUCUGGAAAGCUAAAACAAGCACAGAAUACUAGAACACUAAAAAGUUUCUUCUUAAAAAGAACAAAUGGAAUACCUGCCCACAGUCACUGGUGCAAAAGGUGUGCUCCCUGCCAAGGCCAAGCAAGUCCAGCAGUGUGACUCAAUAUGGAAAAGGCAAGACAUGGUUCAGAAGCUGAUCAAUAAAAGAGCAUCAGACAAAAGUAUAUACUUCAAUAAGAGAAACUAAUUGUAAUCAGAUAAAAUGUGACAUUAAAUAUGAAAAAGAUAUAAUGUAGGGUUUCCUAAUAUUAGGGUUCCAUCUCUUUCUGGUCCCUCUCCCUUCUUUGGGAUGCCCCAGGUCGGAUACCACCACCCCCAGGGACACUACAUCCGUGUGGGACAGAGACUCAGUAAGCUACCUCAUGCUCCCCUUCUUAGCCUCUCCAUUGAGCUGCUCAUUCAUUUGCCCUGCUAAGGAUUGUCACCACCCCCUUGCCUUCCCUUUGAAAUUCCCCAGUUUCCAGCCUAUGCCCCACAAGGGACUCUCCAGCCACAUGACAGGAAGACAAAGCAUCCCCUCCCUCUGAGACUCACCAGCAUCCUGCCGGCUGCCUGACUAGGAUUCUCUAGUUGCACUGUCUGGCCUUGAGAACAACAACCAGUCCACCCCACCAGGGGAAACUUGUUUCAAGCUGCUUAACCAAGGCAGGGGAGGCAUCAGGCUGUAGCUGAUAUGCAGAAGAACUGGGUAGCCCCAGAUACCCGAGAAAAAGAAGAAAUCAACACCCAACCCCUGCUGAGACUUAGCCGCCAUCUGAACACUGUAAGCAUCACCGCUUAAACAAACAUGGGCAUUUGAAGACAAAAGAAAUUUUUAAAAGUCAACGAACAAACUUACUCUGAAAAUGAAAAUCUCAACAUCGAAG
rnacentral:lncRNA from 1 species